AGGUUAGGGAUCGAAUUGGCAAGGAGCAUUGCAAAGUUAAUUUGCAAGAGUUGUUAAACCCAGACAAAAAACAAGAUUUUAUUAAGAGAACAAUAUCAAAUUCAAAUUCAUUGGAGAUGGAUAAAAGUUGGAUCCAUCUUAACAGAGCAACGGUGGAAUAUGAGCAAAAAGCUAGGGAGUUUGUACCAGAAUCUUACUUAUUUCGUCCUAAUAAUGCGAUGCUUACAAUACAAGAAGCAGUUGGUUCCACAGUUGCAUGGCCUUUUAAAAAAGUUAUUC